rnacentral:misc_RNA from 1 species
GUAAAAAAAAAAGUUACAAACUACUCCCACCCAAGUCCGAUCCAAGGAAAGAGGGUCCAAACCUAACAAAUAUGGAGCCCUAAACUAAACGGAUACUACCCGAUCAGCACCUUCAGCAGCAAUCGACUUGAAACCUUCUUUAUUGGCAGCAUUUCACUGUCCUCCACAAGGAGAGUUUUCAAAUAAAAGAAUUAAUCAAAAACCUUUUCAAAUCCCCUCUGUGCAUUACUCAUGACACUUGUGCCUUUAAUUACGAGAUUACACACAUUCCUUGCGUCACCUCGUCGAGCUGAUUGGUUGGCUGUUGCUUGAAACUUGAAGUCAUGUACCUCAGUUGUUGCCAGAUUUGGACUUAAAAGGCUCAGCAAGAGUCAAUGAAUCUGUGAGUUGAUGACUGAAGUUUACAAUUUUUUUUCUAUAUGGUAGAAAUUGAUAAGUGCACUGAUGCCUCAUGCCCCUCGAUUGCAACAUAAAGCAAGAAGGCUUUGAUGCAUACUCAUUGAUGUCAUCUCUAAAUUUAACUUUGAAUCAAAGCAUUCUAUUGUAGACUGAAAAAAAGAAAGAAAAACACUUUUAAGGUGAUCAAUGAAUGCUCAGGAUAGUAGCAUUUUUCACCACUUUUUUUCCUUUCUAAUUUAAACAUCCCAAAUAUUAUUUGCAUAUAAAUAUAUAGCCAUUCGAUAAAUAGGCUUUAAUGAUCAAGCACUUGCAGAAUAGCUGGAUUUUGAUACACAUACACAGAAGACUUGUCAUUGUUUGGGGAUAGCAACCUUCCGCUUUUCUUUAUGACAAAUUACUCCCUUUCUUUAUGACAAAUUACUCCCUUUAGCAAGUGCGUAGACUCUGCAUGUGAAGGUCCUAUGUAAUAUAACAAUAAUUCCAUUGAAAACAUUAUUUGCUUUGAAAUAAAUGGGCCAGAUCAGGAUCAUCCAAGUCCACGUCCAACCAUCCAUUUAAGCGCAUGUAUUCUAUAUAAUGUUCUGGUGGCUUCACCGCACAGCAAUUUCUCAAAGUAAAGCCAUGAAUCAUCUCAAGAUCACGAGCAAGCCAUUGACUGUAAGCACGAUCAACAGGAGGCACGAUUUUCAAGAGAAUCUCCUCCCUUUCUUGUUUCACAGCCACAGGCUUGUUUCCCAUGCUAAGUGGGCUUAUUCCCUUGCACAGAGCAGUAAGCAAGAAAGCAACAGCUUGUUUAGGAAUAGAGCAAAGAUGAGAUGAGCGUGGGCGCCAACUGCGAAUCUCCGCGUUUGCGGCUCUGAUCUGGCAAAUAUAAGAUUAGUUUGUUUAUAAAAAAAAAAGGAUACCCUCACCCUUCUCUUGAAUUACAAACAUAUCCUUGUGAAUAUGACCAUCAAGCUCAAAGGCCAAAGCUAGGCCGGGUUUCCAGAUUCCACGCUGCCCAGAUCAAUUUUCCUGGCGGAGACUUAAUUUCAACCUGAUUGUCUCCUCCGAACUUGGUCUAAUUUCUUCAUCGUUUUUAUCAUAGCGUUUAGAGGGAUGGUUAAAAAGAAGCUAGCACAGCGUUUUGAUUAGGAUUUAAUAAGUUUUAAAACUAUUAAAAGCCUA